AAGUCGUAACAAGGUUUCCGUAGGUGAACCUGCGGAAGGAUCAUUAUUUGAUCUAAAUCGGAGGUUGUUUUUUUGGCUCUGGCUGAAAAAAUACCGCCCUUUUUCCUUUGUGAACUGUUCUUUUGUACUGUUGCAAUUUUUUUUUUUUUAAAAAAAGUUGUGUUUUCCGCAAGGAAAAUGAAAAUAAAGACAACUUUCAGCAAUGGAUCUCUUGGCUCUU
rnacentral:misc_RNA from 1 species